rnacentral:rRNA from 1 species
CGCCUGCCAGCAACCCCCAACUUUUACCAGUUUGACCUCGGAUCAGGUAGGGAUACCCGCUGAACUUAAGCAUAUCAAUAAGCGGAGGAAAAGAAACCAACAGGGAUUGCCUCAGUAACGGCGAGUGAAGCGGCAAGAGCUCAAAUUUGAAAUCUGGCCCUUUCAGGGUCCGAGUUGUAAUUUGUAGAAGAUGCUUCGGGCGUGGUGCCGGUCUAAGUCCCUUGGAACAGGGCGUCACAGAGGGUGAGAAUCCCGUAUGUGACUGGCCACCUACGCCCGUGUGAAGCUCUUUCGACGAGUCGAGUUGUUUGGGAAUGCAGCUCUAAAUGGGUGGUAAAUUUCAUCUAAAGCUAAAUACCGGCCAGAGACCGAUAGCGCACAAGUAGAGUGAUCGAAAGAUGAAAAGCACUUUGGAAAGAGGGUUAAACAGUACGUGAAAUUGUUGAAAGGGAAGCGCUUGCAAUCAGACUUGCGCCUGGGUGAUCAUCCGGGGUUCUCCCCGGGGCACUCGCUCAGGCGCAGGCCAGCAUCGGCUUCGGUGGUGGGAUAAAGGCCCAGGGAACGUAGCCCCUCUCGGGGGGUGUUAUAGCCCUGGGUGCAAUGCCGCCUACCGGGGCCG